CAGCCGCCACGGGAAUACAGAGGGUGCGAGCGUUAAUCGGAUUUACUGGGCGUAAAGCGUGCGUAGGCGGCUUCUUAAGUCGGAUGUGAAAUCCCUGAGCUUAACUUAGGAAUUGCAUUCGAUACUGGGAAGCUAGAGUAUGGGAGAGGAUGGUAGAAUUCCAGGUGUAGCGGUGAAAUGCGUAGAGAUCUGGAGGAAUACCGAUGGCGAAGGCAGCCAUCUGGCCUAAUACUGACGCUGAGGUACGAAAGCAUGGGGAGCAAACAGGAUUAGAUACCCCAGUAGUCCCUGUCUCUUAUAU
rnacentral:rRNA from 1 species